rnacentral:rRNA from 1 species
AGUGAACGCUGGCGGUAGGCCUAACACAUGCAAGUCGAACGGCAGCACAGUAAGAGCUUGCUCCUACGGGUGGCGAGUGGCGGACGGGUGAGGAAUACAUCGGAAUCUACUUUUUCGUGGGGGAUAACGUAGGGAAACUUACGCUAAUACCGCAUACGACCUACGGGUGAAAGCAGGGGAUCUUCGGACCUUGCGCGAUUGUAUGAGCCGAUGUCGGAUUAGCUAGUCGGCGGGGUAAAGGCCCACCAAGGCGACGAUCCGUAGCUGGUCUGAGAGGAUGAUCAGCCACACUGGAACUGAGACACGGUCCAGACUCCUACGGGAGGCAGCAGUGGGGAAUAUUGGACAAUGGGCGCAAGCCUGAUCCAGCCAUACCGCGUGGGUGAAGAAGGCCUUCGGGUUGUAAAGCCCUUUUGUUGGGAAAGAAAAGCAGCAGGUUAAUACCCCGCUGUUCUGACGGUACCCAAAGAAUAAGCACCGGCUAACUUCGUG